rnacentral:rRNA from 1 species
UACAGGGGGUGCAAACGUUGCUCGGAAUUAUUGGGCGUAAAGCGCGCGUAGGUGGCCUCAUAAGUCCGCUGUGAAAGUCAAAGGCUCAACCUUUGAAAGCCGGUGGAUACUGUGAGGCUAGAGUACGGAAGAGGCGAGUGGAAUUCCUGGUGUAGCGGUGGAAUGCGCAGAUAUCAGGAGGAACACCAAUAGCGAAGGCAGCUCGCUGGGACGUUACUGACACUGAGGCGCGAAAGCGUGGGGAGCGAACAGG